CUUUUGAAUGUUUUAAUAUCCUUUUUGUCCACGUUGCUUCCUAUCAAACUUUUGUUUGGCCGGUUUCCUUGUAACCUCCGGCACUUCAACUUCUUCCAUUUCUUCGUCGUAAUCAUCACGAACACGCUUAUUGCUAAACUUAACCCUGUUGUUGAGUCCGCGUCUGAAACUCUCUUUUCCAGCUACAGCUUCCAAGUAUGUUCGGUUCACCUCUGCAUGUUGCUGAGCAUUCGCCAAACUAUCCUCAAUGAGUUCAUCCUCGUCAGAAUCAUUGAUGAGCAAACGACCCUCUUCGUUUGACUUAAAGGCGGAAUUAAGUUUCUGCUUUCUAGCAGCCAAUUUUUUACGAGGAUCAGUGGAUGAAAUUUUUGAAACUGCCUCGAUGUCUAACAAAUCCAACGGCUCUUCAUCAUUGUCCUCUUGAACGAACGCCUCAUCCAUUCUCAAGUCUCCGCCAUUUCCGUUAUUCAUCUCAUCAUUUUCAAACUCUUCUUCAGCUUCAUCAUCAGUAUCGUACACAGCUGCUUCGUA